UCUGGUGCCAGCAGCCGCGGUAACUCCAGCUCCAGAAGCGUAUAUUAAAGUUGUUGCAGUUAAAAAGCUCGUAGUUGGAUCUGGGUCGCAUGGCUACAUGCCGUUGCUCGCAUUCCUGGCCUAGUUCACACUGGGACGGGUUUGUGGGUCGGUGUCGUGGUUGUGCAGCCUUUCUGCCGUGUCUGUUUCGACAGGUGUUGGCAUGAUUGGUCGGGUUCGUCCUGCUGAUCUGUUGACAUGCUCCCAGGUGCCUUUAAUUGGGUGUCGGGGGCGGACGGCACGUUUACUUUGAACAAAUUUGAGUGCUCAAAGCAGGCCAAUGUGCCUGAAAAUUCUUGCAUGGAAUAAUGGAAUAGGACUUCGGUUCUAUUUUGUUGGUUUUCGGAUCCGAAGUAAUGGUUAAAGGGACAGACGGGGGCAUUUGUAUGGCGGUGUUAGAGGUGAAAUUCUUGGAUCGCCGCCAGACAAACUACAGCGAAAGCAUUUGCCAAGGAUGUUUUCAUUGAUCUGGAGCGAAAGUCAGAGGUUCGAAGACGAUCAGAUACCGUCCUAGUUCUGACCAUAAACGAUGCCAACUGACGAUCCGUGGUGGCGCGAUUUUUGGCCCCACGGGCA
rnacentral:rRNA from 1 species